GUUGGUCGGCCUCGUGCUGGCCGGCGGUGCAGGAUGCGCGCGCCUGCGCGGCGUUCGCGCCCCGGUGCUUCAACCUGCGUGCAGGAUCCGAGCUCGGUCCCGUGCCUUGGCCUCCCACGGAUCUUCCUUGCUGCGAGGCCGCGUCCGCCUUAGCGUGCUCCUCCGGGGGCGCGCGGGUGCGCGGAUUCUCUUCGGCCGCCAUUCAACGAUCAACUCAGAACUGGCACGGACUGGGGGAAUCCGACUGUCUAAUUAAAACAAAGCAUUGCGAUGGCCCUAGCGGGUGUUGACGCAAUGUGAUUUCUGCCCAGUGCUCUGAAUGUCAACGUGAAGAAAUUCAAGCAAGCGCGGGUAAACGGCGGGAGUAACUAUGACUCUCUUCUCUCCACCACGUGUCAGGUCUCGACCUCCGUGUGGGGAGGGUCUGUCCGAUGAGCUGCUGCCAUUCUCGAAGAGGGUGCCCUUCCGUGACCUCUGGGCUCCCAUUUCUGCAGAAGAAGCCACCGCUGCUCUCCCGCCUCGCAAUUCUGCUGCAGGUCCUGACGGCCUCACGCCGACACAACUGCGUCGCCUUCCCCGGGAGGUUCUCCUCAAGAUCCUUAAUUUCCUCCUCCUUUCCCGUUCCCUUCCUUCCCGACUCCUUCAGGUCAGAACAACGCUGCUGCCCAAGAAGACCGCCGCAGCAUCCCCUGCUGACUUUCGUCCGAUCACGGUGUGCUCGGUGCUGACCAGAGCCUUUCACAAGGUUCUGGUUGGCCGCCUGAUGCGCUACUGUGUGUUGGACGGUCGCCAGCGGGCUUUCAUCCCUCAGGAUGGGAUGCUUCACAACACCUUUCUUCUAGAUCUGGCGAUGACCCAGGCGUGCCGAGCUGCCGGCUCGCUGUACUUGGCAUCUCUGGAUGUGUCAAAGGCCUUCGACUCGCUUGCCCAUGGUGCCCUUGGCCCGGUGCUAAGGGCCCACGGUUUGCCGGUCGAGUUUGUUGACUACAUCCAGGGAUGCUAUGAGGCUGGAUCGACGGUUAUCUGCGCGGAUGGGAAGUCGUCAGAUCUAGUGCGGCCUUCGAGGGGUGUUCGGCAGGGUGACCCGCUGUCUCCUAUCCUCUUCAACAUGUCCAUUGACAUUCUCUUGUCUCGCCUGCCUGCUCAUAUUGGUGCACGCAUUCUUGGACGGCGGAUAAAUGCGGCUGCAUUCGCCGAUGACCUCCUGCUGUUUGCCGAGACUCGUGAUGGAUUGCAGGAACUUCUCACCAUCGCCACGUCGGCCCUGGGGGAUCUCGGGCUCGAGGUCAACCCACGGAAGUGUUUUUCUCUCGCCCUUGUCUCAUCAGGCCGGGAGAAGAAAACCAAGGUCGACGAGACUGUCAUCUUUCGUGCUGGGGGGAACAACAUCCCAGCACUGGCGAUGGGAGAUACUUUCAAGUAUCUAGGCCUGCAAUUUUCCACGUGCGGACGCAGUCUUUUUCAUCCCCGGCGAGAGGUCGAGAAGCAGAUGAACAUCAUCAAGCGUGCACCACUCAAACCUCAGCAGCGGCUUUUUGCCCUUCGUUCUGUUAUCCUCCCGGGUAUUUUCCAUGGUCUCGCCCUGGGGAGGACUCGUCUUGGGGCCCUCUCUUCCCUUGACGUCUGUGUUCGUGCAGCUGUUCGAUCUUGGCUGCACCUGCCAGCAGAUACGCCGGUCGGUUACUUCCACGCCCCCAUCUCUCAUGGGGGCUUGGGGGUGCCUGCAGCCCGCUGGCUGGGCCCUCUUCUUCGUAGGAGAAGAUUGGCGAAGAUGCAGGGACUGGGUGCGGCAGCGGACGAUUCUUCCCAGGACUUAAUCCAGCGAGAAAUUCACCAACUGGACCACGCCCUGCAAUGGCAGGGGGAAGUUAUAAAGUCCAGUUACCAGUUGGGCCGGUGUUGGGCCGACCGCCUGCACUCGUCGGUCGACGGCGCUGCGCUACGAGAGUCUGCCCGAACACCAGGGCAGCACUGCUGGGUCUCCAAUACGCGGCAGUUCGUAACCGGCCGCGACUACAUCUCAUGCCUGCGUGUCCGGAUUAAUGCCUUACCUACUCGGGCACGGCUGCUACGUGGGAGGGAAGGUGACACCAGAUGCCGCGCUGGCUGCAAUGCCACGGAGACUGCCAACCAUGUCAUUCAACAGUGCUGGAGAAGCGACGGGGCUCGCAUUGCUCGACACGAUGCCAUGGCGUCCUAUCUGGCGCGAGGCCUCCGCCGCAGAGGCUACAAUGUUCUGCUAGAGCCUCACCUUCGUACAUCUGAAGGCCUGAAAAAGCCAGACAUCGUGGCGGUCCGUGACACUGCAGCAUUUGUCAUCGAUGCGCAGGUGGUUGGCGACAACCGUGAUCUUGGUAGGUGUCACCGCGAGAAAGUAGCCGUCUACGACAAGCAGGCAGUUUACGACAAGAUACGUGAGCUGUUUCCAGUGGCUACGGAAUUCACCACCACGUCGGCGACCAUCAACUGGCGUGGGGUUUGGUCUCCAGCCUCUGCCAAA